rnacentral:rRNA from 1 species
GACGAACGCUGGCGGCGUGCUUAACACAUGCAAGUCGAACGGUAAGGCCCUUCGGGGUACACGAGUGGCGAACGGGAGAGUAACACGUGGGUGAUCUGCCCUGCACUUCGGGAUAAGCCUGGGCAACUGGGUCUAAUACCGGAUAGGACUCCGGACUGCAUGGUCUGGGGUGGAAAGCUUUUGCGGUGUGGGAUGGGCCCGCGGCCUAUCAGCUUGUUGGUGGGGUGAUGGCCUACCAAGGCGACGACGGGUAGCCGGCCUGAGAGGGUGACCGGCCACACUGGGACUGAGAUACGGCCCAGACUCCUACGGGAGGCAGCAGUGGGGAAUAUUGCACAAUGGGCGCAAGCCUGAUGCAGCGACGCCGCGUGAGGGAUGACGGCCUUCGGGUUGUAAACCUCUUUCAGCAUCGACGAAGCGAAAGUGACGGUAGGUGCAGAAGAAGGACCGGCCAACUACGUGCCAGCCGCCGCUGUAA